AUAACCAAAUCGGUCUUAACCCACUGUAAAGCCACUUCAAACCCACGUGGGUUUGUGGUGGUCGAUUCAGUCGUUAACCCACCAAAUUUUAGAACAAUCGGAGCUGUCAGUUCCGAUCAUAUGUAUUGACCUAGCACGCGCUUGGCCCACCUUUUCCAAGCAUGUUGACGAGGAAAAUGUGGAUCAAGAGCGGGCUAGGGUAAAUAUGCUUAACAGGAUUUUAACACAUCGAUUGCUUUAACUCAUUCACUUACAUCACAGCAUAACUUCGUCAACAUUUUAAAUCUAAAAACUGUGCACUGACCAGCGAAAUGGAUGAGUCCAUUUGCAUGUAAACAAACACACACAAAUAUGUUUUACAAUAAACAAACUUAAACAACGUUUCAUUGCUUCCUUUGCACAAUUAAACAUAUUUUGGGAUGGAAAAUGUUUAGCAAAUGAAUUACCCGUGUAUAAAAACUUACUUUCACAACACUGAAGUGGCUGCUUCUGCGGCCAUAUGGUUUAACCCACCAAACUGACAGUGCUUUAGCUUUGUUUCAUGCAACUGGAUUUUUAGUACAGGAAAUUGGUGGCGUUUUCGGUAUCAUGGUUAUUUGGGAUGUGCACUAUCUCUAUUCACUGCUUCAUCAGCACGUUUUGGCGCCAAAAAAACGAGUGCACUUGUACACGUGAAUCUGAUGGGGAAGCAGCGUUGCGCGUGCCGACAUUUUGACAAGUUCUCGGAGAGUGUAUCGUUCGGUCGGGUUACUUGAUAUUGAACGUGUUUGGACGCGUUUAUAGCGUUAUUGGUAGCCGGCAAAACGGCCGUAUGAGUCAACCCAUAAUUGAAACGUUAAAUCUUUUUGAUAUUGUUUUAGUUAUUAUACAGUAUAGCAGCGGCUUACAGGUUUUUUACUUGUUUUCGCAAGCAUAGCACGUUUAAUUUAACAGGAUCGCAGAAACAGAACGCUUUCGCGCUUAAGACAACCUUCGCAGCCCACAAUAUCACAUCUCCAAUGUUGCGAAAUCAUAGAAGUAUUACUGUACAAAUUGAGCUAAAGCUCCUACGCUAGUUGCUACGCUGCACUGCUACUGCGGGGUAUGGUUUGUCGACCAGCAGAAUCAGUUCCUCGAUCGGAACUGGGACUCUAUCGGUUCCAGAUCCGGACUAGUUACGAAUCCGGUUCAUGUUUCGUUUCUAAUCCGAGACAUGUCCAGGUACUGUUCCAGGAACGAAAUAACAUCGGAAGCGAUUUCAGGACUGGUAUGAGUUCAGCAUCAGUUGUAGGAUCGGUAUGGGUUUACGGUCGGUUUCAGAACCAAGAUGAGUUCAUGAUUGGUUCCAGAACCGAUUAGGAUUCAGUAUCCGCUCCAGGUCCGUUAUGGGUGCAUUAUCAGUUCCAGCACCAGUAUGGAUUCAUGAUCGGUUUCAAGAUCAGGAUGAGUUCAUGAUUGGUUCCAGUACUGGUUUGGGUUCAUGACCGGUUCCAGUACCAGUGUAAGUUUUUGAUCGGUUCUUGGACCGGUUUAAGAUCGGUUCCACGACUGGUGUGGAUUUAUGAUCAGUUACAUGGCCGGUAUGAAUUAAUGAUUGGUUCUAGGUUCAUGAUCAGUUACAGGACCGAUAUGGGGUAGUAAAAUCAAGUAAAAAUCUCUGUACAAAUAACAAAUAACGUGUUGACAGUUAUUUGAAAGAAAAUUUUACUUUUUUUUAAGGGACAACACUGUUUCUGGAACUCUGGAACUCGGGUAUUAGUUUUGGAGAUCUUUUUGCUGUUGUGUAACGACAUAUCUACGGUCGGGUUGGGAAUCUGGAGAUGAGAUUUGGAGAAUCUUCCAAAAUUCUGGAGAUGGGAAUUCGACUUAAGUAUUACACCACCUUAACAUCCUGUCUCAUUGUCGAAGAACUGAAUAUGAGGGACGCUAUUCAAAUUGGAAGAAUUCUCACAGUCAUCUGAAGUCGAGAAGGGGAGCUCCCACCCUUCCUAUGUGGCGACAUUUUCUUAGUGAUAGUAGCAAAAUGACAUUUUCUUUUUGUUUUCGAUCGUUUUCCGUAUCGACCAUCUGACAUUCGCGUACGCUUAUCUUGAGUGGUUUUGAAGAAAAAAAAAAGGGGGGAUGGCCAUCGCAAUGGCCCAUACCGACAACUCCUCCGACCACUCGCCUCCCUCCCCAGCCACACACUUCAAAUCCCACCCACCUGGCGUGCUGUUUUUAUUGUGUCCUUUUAUCGUACACGGCCCGCUGCAUUAUCUCCCAAUAUCGUUUGACAGGCCUAGCAUGAUACGCUGGCCUUUUAAAUUAUGACAUAGUACGCCAGAGCUUUCUUCCUGCACCUCAGUAAGUGUGUGUGUGUGUGUUUUUUUUUGUUGCUGCAUUACGCUACUCAGAGCGAGGGCCUGGCCGCUACCCGCUUCUACGUGUACUGGGCGCCGCACACUGUUGUUGUUUGUUGUUUACUCCCCGGGUUGACCGCAGCCAGAGCCCCGGAGGGCUAAUUGUAUUGCUCUCGAUUAAAAACCACCCGACCUGCCUCAGCGCCUGGCGGGUGUGCCCGGAGGCAAGGGUUAACAAGCUGCCAUGUUCAUAGUUCCCAAAAACUGCAAAAAAAGGGGCAGCUGAACCGACAGCCACAAGACGCCAGCCUCAAGUCUCCUCGGGCGCACCUGUUCUGUCCGGUCGCAGAUCGCAGAUCAUGCGCGCACCAACACACCGCUGCAUGCCGGCAAUUCGUACGUCAGCUCGCGUCGGAUGCAGCCUGCCGGCAAACACCGGUCUCGCCCGCUGUCCCCCCCCCCCACCCCCCCCGCAGCGUAUCGUUCGUUGAUGUGCUUGCACGUAAUUGUCGGCAGCGUACAGCGAAACUUUACGCGCGCGCUUUUGCAAUCAACCGACCUACCAGCGGCGUACCGGCAGGUCGAAUCCGAUGACGCUUUGCGAACGGUUCCUUUGGUUUCGCUGCUGACCAGGUGCGACGAACACGAAGUAUCGAACGGUCUGGGGACUUUUCGCAGGCAGUGCACAGCCGAACUCCAACGCAAGGUGGGCAGGUCACCAAAGCAGGAUAACAUUUGACUCAGGUGAGCAACAGACAUUUGGACAUCUUCCUGCCCACGAAACCAGACGGGAGUGCUGCUUCCUAUUGAGGUCGGUACAACGACAGCAAAACAAAAGACAGUGCAAACGCCUUGGGUAAGGGUUGCAACCCCAUCAACCCCAAAGGAGCUCUUGCAGCUUGUGUACGUACGGAUCAUCAAACUUAGAAGCAUACAUAAUUCAUCCCAGCAUGCUAAACUGCAGACGGAACGUAGUUGUUCCACUUAUUUCCUCCCGAACUCCCGACGUAAUCACACCCGCCCGGCCGCCUUAAGGACGAAGGUGGGGCGCGUUUCGGUUGUAGCGUGUACCGGUGGGCGAGGUGAGGCCGGGGACAGCAUGCGACAAGCAAAGAGGGGGCGGGGGGAGGGGGGGGGCACAGCAUCGAGAACCAACCGGUACGCACCGAUACAUAGAGACAGCCGGCGAUUUCACAACACAUGCCCGUGACACUAUAGCAUGUGCGGCAUUAUUCGUGAACUUACGGAAACAUUUUACUUGCUUUUUUUUUUUGGUAAAAAGUGGCAGUUAUCGAGAGGCUGUCUUAGCAGACAAGUGAACUUUUGGCAGUUUGUAGUUUGUACAAAAAAAAAGCCAAGGUUAUGUAAAUUUCUUCCGCAAAUUGUCGUCCGAUAUCGAUUUGAGGUUUGAUUUAUUGUUAUUGCCCUAUUGCGUUUCCGCAGCUAUUGAAAUCAAUACCGUAAUUUACAUAACUACGAAGGGUAUUUCGUAAACUCAGGACUGAAGAGAAUUGUUCAAUUAUCAAAAGAAAAAUUAAGGUCUAGUUUACAAAAGUGUUCUAAACAAUAAAAAAACGAUACCUUCCUUUA